UAAGUUAUCAGGUUUAUUCCAGUUAUGUACGUAAACACUUGGGAAUGUUUCACUUGUCAUGUCAAGCAAACUGAAUCACUUAAAACAAAAGCUGAGUAUUUUAAGUUUAUACAUGCAAUCUAAAGUGCUAGAAGAAACUUAACAGUUGUAAAUGAGGCUGACUAGGAUUAAAGUCUGACCAACCCAAGUUAAAUAAACCAAUAUUAAUCAAAGGACCCUGGGCAACUGUGAGAAUGAUUUGUUAAAAUAGAUGUUUUAAUAAAAAGAAGUAAUAAGUUGUGCAACUAUUAAUAAAUGUAAAGGCUUACUCACUUCCAAGC
rnacentral:lncRNA from 1 species